rnacentral:tRNA from 1 species
GCUUCCAUAGCUCAGGGGUAGAGCACUUCCAUGGUAAGGAAGGGGUCGUCGGUUCAAUUCCGACUGGAAGCU